CCACCUGCCUCAGCCUCCAGAGUGCUGGGAUCACAGCAUCAGAAUGACACCCAGCCCACACAAGUCAUCUGAGUCAGAGCCUCUAACUGUAGAUUGCCGCUUUCUGCAGAGCAGAGGCACGGAAGGUCAGUCAGUGAUCAGCCGUUGCAAGAUCAGGUCUUUGUGCAAAAGGUUAUGUAAGAGUCCUCUUGAGUUAGAGGCUGUGUGUUUAAAGGGUGACUGACUCGUACUGUGCAUGUGGGAUGUGUCAUCCGAGUGGAGGAGAAUGAACAAGAAAAGGUAGAAGCUGAGGAAUCCUAAUGGCUAGUGAUGGGCUGCCGUGGCGCAGGACAGAAGUUUCAGGCCUUAAGGAAGGGAGCGAGAGAUGACUAAGACAGACUUCCUUCUGCACCAUUGUGCAGAUCAGUGUGAAAGGUCAGCAGUAUAUUCUCAGUCAGCAGUUCAAGGAGAUAGCUGGGAUGUUUGGCCAUGGACCGGGGGUGGGGUGGGGUGGAGUGGUGGUGAGCCCUUCCCACGCCCACCUAUCAUCCUCUCCACAGCUCACGCAGACUGAAAGCAAUUAGAAUACUUCAGGCUUGGCAGCUUUGCCAUCUGCCCUGCAGAAGAGCCACUGGCAGGUGUAGCACACAGUGGCACUGGUUAAGUCACUUGUGUCUGCUUGGUUGUUUUGAAGAUAGGGAUUCGGAAAGAUGGAGUAGCAAGGGUCUAACAGUACCCAUAUCUGUCUAGUUCCCUUGUGCUCCGGGUUGUGCCUGAUUAGAUUUAGUCUUCACCGGCCUCACCGCCAGUCCCAUUUUUAAAUGAUAAACUACAGCGUAAACUGACUCUAAAAUUGGCCCUUGACUGCCCAGCUUCCUAGGCUGGGAAGAUGUUUGUUAAUGAUUUCUUAGGUGUGGCAUCACGCAAAGGGGUCCUUGUUAAUUGAGCUGUGUCGUUACAUUAAAUGCAGGGGCAGGAGAAGGGUUAGCAUGCAGGUGCACGUGUGUGUGUAUAGUGAGUCUGCCUCGUCAGUGACUUUAACUUGUGUAAACCGUGUGUAAUGGGCCUUGCCAGUAACAAAGCAGGGUAUCUGAGCCGAGUGGUUUAUAGUUUAUAAUUGGCUUCUUAUUACUGUUGGCUGCCUUUCCUACACAUCGAGUAUUACUCUAGGAUUGGUAUUUGAUUUAAGAAAUUUUCAAAUUGAUUUUAUCUCAGUGCAUUAAUACGUGGCCUCAAUUCCUGCAGAGGCAUCAGAUAAAACCAGCCUGGAUGUGUUUUAGGAAUCAUAACUGGAUCUGAGCUGCCAGUGGCCCAGCUCUCAGUCAGCAUAGAUAAAUCCCUUUGCUGAAAAAAAAAAAAAUUCUAAGUCCAUCGGCUUCUUAGGGCAUCUCAAAUUGAGGCCCCAUGCAACUGGAAAAAUUUCCCCAAAUAAUGCUAAAACACAUAAAUGAGAAUUUGCUGACAUGAAUAGAUCUAAUCACUCUUUUCCUUCUGGGAUCCAACACAUAAAUAUUCAAGGAAUACCGUGGAAAUCAGCCUAACUGUCAAGGGUGCCCAAUUGUGAUGCUUUCCAAAAUCAGGAAAUGCGAAAUAUGACCCUAGCAAUAAAAAUGCUAUUACUGCGGUUGAGUGCAUGGGAAGCUGGAGUGUGUUCUGUCUGU
rnacentral:lncRNA from 1 species